CCUAGGGGAGGCAGCAGUGGGGAAUAUUGCACAAUGGGCGCAAGCCUGAUGCAGCCAUGCCGCGUGUGUGAAGAAGGCCUUCGGGUUGUAAAGCACUUUCAGCGGGGAGGAAGGCGUUGAGGUUAAUAACCUUGGCGAUUGACGUUACCCGCAGAAGAAGCACCGGCUAACUCCGUGCCAGCAGCCGCGUAAU
rnacentral:rRNA from 1 species